UACGUAGGGUGCGAGCGUUAAUCGGAAUACUGGGCGUAAAGCGUGCGCAGGCGGUGAUGUAAGACAGAUGUGAAAUCCCCGGGCUCAACCUGGGAACUGCAUUUGUGACUGCAUCGCUGGAGUGCGGCAGAGGGGGAUGGAAUUCCGCGUGUAGCAGUGAAAUGCGUAGAUAUGCGGAGGAACACCGAUGGCGAAGGCAAUCCCCUGGGCCUGCACUGACGCUCAUGCACGAAGCGUGGGGAG
rnacentral:rRNA from 1 species